AAAUAAGGUAGUUUAAAAAAAUGUGAGAUUGUCAAUCUUAAGAUGCCAUAAGGUGGCCUUUAUUUU
rnacentral:tRNA from 1 species